UCACAAGGGAGAUGACUAACAUUUUUAGCUGAAAAUGACAGCAGAUUCAGACAUUCUGCAAUACAACAAAAGACAACAAACUCGGAACCUCUAUGACUGAAAUUAAUUACUUGAAGCACCUCCUAAGAUUUUAAGUGAUGUUCUAAUCCAGUGUUACUCAUUGCGCGGCUCGCCAAGCUUUAAUUUGGGGUUCGCACGGCAAAUAAUACGGUGAUAUGACCUAACGUGAAAGUGAGCCGGGCAGCCAGAAAUCUGCCCCAAUGGCCCUCUAUGAGAGCGUGCUGCAGUUUCACUUUUCACCACAGAUUUACGUUGGACAUUUGUGGGGUGCUGCAGAACUAGAGAGGGCUCCACACACCCUCUGAGAGACUGGCUGCCCGCUUAGUAUCGUAAAUACAUGCCUGCAGAAUCCAUGCGCUACAUUUUAACAUAUCCUGCUCACUUUACGACUAGAAAAUACAAAAAAAUCUCAGCCAUGAACACUAUAAAGAGGAAACCGAGAAAACAGGAUUGCUAACAACAAGAAGAAAGUCAAGAAAAUGCAUGCUUCCGCUCAUCCCAGCAUUAAGACCGAUGCUGAGCACUGCAGCCGCUUCUGCGGGACAGGACGACCCCUAUGUGUCCCUGCUCAGAGACAGAGCUCCCAUGAGACACAAGAGAGGAUGAAUACGCUCUCCUUGCCCCACACAGUCUCCCCCAGCCCACCCCCGUUUUCUCUCCAUUGCCCGAACGGAGUCUGAGGCUGCCGCACUCACUGGCUGCAACGGUAAUUGGAACAUAAUGGAACAUUUUUGCCGACUGAACUGAACCCUUUGCCCUUAUCACCUUCUGAACCGCUCACAAAAUAGGCCCACAUUCCACGGCCUACUGCGCGAGUACACACACCUCUCAGUGCUGAUUGACCACUUUGGUCAGGCAUCAUACAAGCACAUUUCACGCACUCUACCUUCAUACACACACCAAAUAUGAGACACACGCACACAUGCUUUUCAGAGGUUGUUUCUUAACUUUUUUUAAGAGAUUCUAAGAAAGAUUACAAAAUACAUUAUGUAUAUAUAAAUACAUUUAUUUAAAGGAUUAGUUCACAUUAAAAUUUCCUGAUAAUUUAC